UACGGGGGGGGGCAAGCGUUGUUCGGAAUUACUGGGCGUAAAGGGCCAGUAGGCGGCCAACUAAGUCGGAUGUGAAAUCCCCAGGCUCAACUUGGGAACUGCAUCCGAUACUGGAUGGCUUGAAUUCGGGAGAGGGAUGCAGAAUUCCAGGUGUAGCGGUGAAAAUGCGUAGAUAUCUGGAGGAAUACCGGUGGCGAAGGCAGCUCGCUGGGGACGGUACUGACGCUGAGGCGCGAAAGCGUGGGGAGCAAACAGG
rnacentral:rRNA from 1 species